rnacentral:rRNA from 1 species
UACAGAGGGUGCGAGCGUUGUCCGGAAUCACUGGGCGUAAAGGGCGCGUAGGCGGCUUGAUAAGCGUGCGGUGAAAGCCCGGGGCUCAACCCCGGGUCGGCCGUGCGAACUGUCGAGCUGGAGCACUGUAGAGGCAGGUGGAAUUCCGGGUGUAGCGGUGGAAUGCGUAGAGAUCCGGAAGAACACCGGUGGCGAAGGCGGCCUGCUGGGCAGUGGCUGACGCUGAGGCGCGACAGCGUGGGAGCAAACAGG